rnacentral:rRNA from 1 species
UACGUAGGUGGCAAGCGUUGUCCGGAUUUACUGGGCGUAAAGAGCGCGCAGGCGGUCGUUCAAGUCGCGUGUGAAAGCCCCCGGCUCAACUGGGGAGGGUCACGCGAUACUGAUCGACUCGAAGGCAGGAGAGGGUGGUGGAAUUCCGGGUGUAGUGGUGGAAAUGCGUAGAUAUCCGGAGGAACACCAGUGGCGAAAGCGGCCACCUCGGACUGCACCCUGACGGCUGACACGCGAAAGCUAGGGGAGCGAACGGG